rnacentral:rRNA from 1 species
GGCGGACGGGUGAGUAACACGUGGGCAACUGCCUAUAAGACCUGGGACUAACUUCGGGAGACCCGGAGCUAAUACGGAUAAUUCAUAUCUACUCAUGUAGGUAUGCUGAAAGCAACGGUUUACGCUGUCGCUUAUAGAUGGGCCCGCGGCGCAUUAGCUAGUUGGUGAGGUAACGGCUCACCAAGGCAACGAUGCGUAGCCGACCUGAGAGGGUGAUCGGCCACACUGGGACUGAGACACGGCCCAGACUCCUACGGGAGGCAGCAGUAGGGAAUCUUCCGCAAUGGACGAAAGUCUGACGGAGCAACGCCGCGUGAGUGAUGAAGGUUUUCGGAUCGUAAAACUCUGUUGUUAGGGAAGAACAAGUACUAGAGUAACUGCUAGUACCUUGACGGUACCUAACCAGAAAGCCACGGCUAACUACGUGCCAGCCGCCGCGG